rnacentral:rRNA from 1 species
UGCAGUCGAGCGAAUGGAUUAAGAGCUUGCUCUUAUGAAGUUAGCGGCGGACGGGUGAGUAACACGUGGGUAACCUGCCCAUAAGACUGGGAUAACUCCGGGAAACCGGGGCUAAUACCGGAUAACAUUUUGAACUGCAUGGUUCGAAAUUGAAAGGCGGCUUCGGCUGUCACUUAUGGAUGGACCCGCGUCGCAUUAGCUAGUUGGUGAGGUAACGGCUCACCAAGGCAACGAUGCGUAGCCGACCUGAGAGGGUGAUCGGCCACACUGGGACUGAGACACGGCCCAGACUCCUACGGGAGGCAGCAGUAGGGAAUCUUCCGCAAUGGACGAAAGUCUGACGGAGCAACGCCGCGUGAGUGAUGAAGGCUUUCGGGUCGUAAAACUCUGUUGUUAGGGAAGAACAAGUGCUAGUUGAAUAAGCUGGCACCUUGACGGUACCUAACCAGAAAGCCACGGCUAACUACGUGCCAGCAGCCGCGGUAAUACGUAGGUGGCAAGCGUUAUCCGGAAUUAUUGGGCGUAAAGCGCGCGCAGGUGGUUUCUUAAGUCUGAUGUGAAAGCCCACGGCUCAACCGUGGAGGGUCAUUGGAAACUGGGAGACUUGAGUGCAGAAGAGGAAAGUGGAAUUCCAUGUGUAGCGGUGAAAUGCGUAGAGAUAUGGAGGAACACCAGUGGCGAAGGCGACUUUCUGGUCUGUAACUGACACUGAGGCGCGAA